rnacentral:lncRNA from 1 species
UGAAUCUUGUUAGCAUUAACCCAAACCCCUAAUUAUGGCCUAUCAAACAAUUCUCACAUAGGUUAGUCCUCGAAGGUUAUUUGUGGCCUAAUAUCCUACAUAUUUUUUUUUCUCAAACUCAUUAAGAGUAUAACUCAAUCUUUUUAAUUUUAUUUUAUCACUGAUAAGAGCACUCAUCAUAGGGAUGUGAAGAGAUACACUCCAGUAAUGUGUUCUAAUAUGAUUACUCAAUUAAUUUCAUUUCUACUACAUUAAAUCUCAUUCAUA